rnacentral:rRNA from 1 species
UACGAAGGGAGCUAGCGUUGUUCGGAAUCACUGGGCGUAAAGCGCACGUAGGCGGAUGUGUCAGUCAGGGGUGAAAUCCCGGAGCUCAACUUCGGAACUGCCUUUGAUACAGCACGUCUUGAGUCCGAUAGAGGUGGGUGGAAUUCCUAGUGUAGAGGUGAAAUUCGUAGAUAUUAGGAAGAACACCGGUGGCGAAGACGGCCCACUGGAUCGGUACUGACGCUGAGGUGCGAAAGCGUGGGGAGCAAACAGG